AGUGAACGCUGGCGGUAGGCCUAACACAUGCAAGUCGAACGGCAGCACAGUAAGAGCUUGCUCUUACGGGUGGCGAGUGGCGGACGGGUGAGGAAUACAUCGGAAUCUACUUUUUCGUGGGGGAUAACGUAGGGAAACUUACGCUAAUACCGCAUACGACCUACGGGUGAAAGCAUGGGAUCUUCGGACCUUGCGCGAUUGAAUGAGCCGAUGUCGGAUUAGCUAGUUGGCGGGGUAAAGGCCCACCAAGGCGACGAUCCGUAGCGGGUCUGAGAGGAGGAUCAGCCACACUGGAACUGAGACACGGCCCAGACUCCUACGGGAGGCAGCAGUGGGGAAUAUUGGACAAUGGGCGCAAGCCUGAUCCAGCCAUACCGCGUGGGUGAAGAAGGCCUUCGGGUUGUAAAGCCCUUUUGUUGGGAAAGAAAAGCAGCAGGUUAAUACCCCGCUGUUCGGACGGUACCCAAAGAAUAAGCACCGGCGAACCUCGU
rnacentral:rRNA from 1 species